CUUGUAUACUUUGGUAACUAGUGUUUUGCUAGUUAUUUGUUAUUAAUAUAUAUCUUAUAUAUAUCUAAAGUUGUAAGAUUUGCAAUCAAUUCUGAAGCUUCAUGAUAUUUAUGAUUUUAUUGCUUGGGUAAUUAAGAGAUAAGUAUCUUGCUUUGUGUUAAUGGAUUUAGGUUGCUGCACAUUGAUGUGAAAGCAAUUCAAAAGUCCCUUUUAAUAAUCAUAAUUAUAGGAAUAGUAGUGGUAAUAUUAAAUCACCAAAGAAAUUCAGGGGUCUUUUAAAUCAUCAAUCAUUGCCGGUUGUAGAGAAGCGGAAGUUACAUUUCUUGGUAGUUGAAACAUCCCAUCCAAUGUUCGGUGUAUAAUUUCUUUCCACAUUCUUAUUUCAUCAUUAAAAAAGGGCUCCAAGAAAAUUUUUUGUUCUCAGUUUGCUUUUAGAUUUUAUCAUUUAAUCUGUUAUGACUUUUAUUUGUUUAUAUGAUUGUGCAACAGGUUUCCAACUCGGAUCGAAGCUUUGGUUUCUUUCUUUAUCAUUCUUCGUUGGUUGACUUCUGAUGAAGAUAAUCAUCAACACAUUUUCGAUAUCCAGGUUAUGGUCAUGGUUGAUUUAGAUUGUGCUUCCACAUGAAGACUUAUUCUAUAAUGCAAGCACCAAAUAGUCGUUUUAGCUAAGCCUUUUUCCACUAAACCGGCAAAAUAUCAUCAUAUAACCAGGUUUUUAUUGGUGAAAAGCAAACAAAACCUGCAAAUGUGUAUCGGGAAGCACUAUUGGACAUUCUUGCUUAUUAAUGCCACCAAUCAUGGGCUUCUCCCUUUGUCAUUCGGUAACUUUAAUCUGAGGACAAAUACUUCCCCC